CGUCUAAUACUGGAUAUGAUCACUGGCCGCAUGGUCUGGUGGUGGAAAGAUUUUUGGUUGGGGAUGGACUCGCGGCCUAUCAGCUUGUUGGUGAGGUAAUGGCUCACCAAGGCGACGACGGGUAGCCGGCCUGAGAGGGUGACCGGCCACACUGGGACUGAGACACGGCCCAGACUCCUACGGGAGGCAGCAGUGGGGAAUAUUGCACAAUAGGCGAAAGCCUGAUGCAGCAACGCCGCGUGAGGGAUGACGGCCUUCGGGUUGUAAACCUCUUUUAGUAGGGAAGAAGCGAAAGUGACGGUACCUGCAGAAAAAGCACCGGCUAACUACGUG
rnacentral:rRNA from 1 species